rnacentral:lncRNA from 1 species
UAAACCCCAACCUAAUUAAAAUCCCCAAAUCUCUAAACCCGAACCCCUCCCGAUUUUCAAUUUCUCCCAAACCCAAUCGUUCCGAUCGAUUUCUUGCAUUCCAUUCCAUUCCGGCAUCGGCGAGUUCUUCAUCUUCCGGCGCGCGCGAGUUCUUCAUCUUCCGGCAGGCGCAAUGAGGACAGUGAUCGAGUUCUUCAUCUUCCGCAGUGAGGACAGUGAUGACAGUGAGGAUUUGGUGAGUUCUAUGACAUCCUCCGGUUUAGUUUUAUGUUCUUGGUGAAAAAUAUUUCACAAUACAAUCCUCCCUAAAUCAUAAUCACAAUCACAACAUUUUUCACAAUACAAUCCUCAUUUAAAAUAUUUCUCUGUUUAAAGCCCAAUCAUAUUUCUCCAAUAUGAUUGGGUAUUUCUCUGCUUAAAAUCAUGUAUUUAAAGUUCUGUUGUUUAAAGUACUGCACUUGUUCUAUUUUAAAUCAUGGGUUCUAUUUUAAUCAAAAGUUAUGUUACUUAAAUCAUGGGUCUUUAUGUUUCUGAAUAUAGAGAAUUUUACUGUGAUUUGGAUGGUUUUUUUGCUUUACUACAGGUCGUAUUUGUAUUCCUAUAGAUCCCAAUAAUUGUGAGAAUUUUGAUCCAACAUCUGACCCUAGACUUUCAGAGUUUUUUUUUAAUUUAAUUGAUAUAUAUUUGAAAUGGGUUUUCAUAUUGUUUCUCAUUUCAAAAGUUGCUGCAUCUGAUUCUCUUUCCGAUACCGAUUGCAUUUUUAUAAAUUUCGAAAAGAAAUUUUGUCUGAACUCUGAAAUUGAACUGUAAUUUUGAUUUUCAAUCAUUUCCCUGUAAAAUAAGUAUUUCUGAUGUUCUGUAAUGUCAGUUUGAUAUUGGGUUCAGAAUUGACAUACCCGAAUCCAUAUUAGAGAACCAUAUCCAAAAAUGUUUCUGGAUUCUCCUCCUCACUGGAUUAUUAAACUACGUAUAAUUAUCCAUAUUUAUUUAGAUAUAAAUCAUGUAAUUAUUAAACAAAGCAUUUUCAGAAAAACUAAAUACCAAUUAUAG